GGACCUUUCCCUACACCACUGGUUCCAAAACUGUGGGGAGCCACUGCCCCUUCCAGAAUAGUGUCUAGGAGGACCCAAACCUCUCCAGAUGAACUGUGAACUACAACUGCCAACCAAGUACAGUCGCCAGCGUUUCUUUGGCUUCAAAGUGAGGCGUAAAUGGGUGAAAUGUCAGAUCCCACAGGUGAACUAUUUUUAGAUUUAAUUGCUGAAACCAUUCCCAAGAUGAAGCUGAGAGCCUUUUUUUGGGUGGGGCGGACAUGGAAAGGAAGGGAUAUAUUGUUGAAAGGAAAAGGCAAGGAAGUCACUCACCAUAAGCCGAAUCCCCUUCACUGUGGACGCUUCCUGAAGAGGUGACAACGUCUGCAAGAAAGGAAAGAAAACAAGGGCCGUUACAUGCCGUGGA